GGGGAAUAUUGGGCAAUGGGCGAAAGCCUGACCCAGCAACGCCGCGUGAAGGAAUAAGGCCUUCGGGUUGUAAACUUCUUUUAUUAGGGACGAAGGAUGUGACGGUACCUAAUGAAUAAGCCACGGCUAACUACGUGCCAGCAGCCGCGGUAAUACGUAGGUGGCAAGCGUUGUCCGGAUUUACUGGGUGUAAAGGGCGCGUAGGCGGGAAUGCAAGUCAGAUGUGAAAUCCAUGGGCUCAACCCAUGAACUGCAUUUGAAACUGUGUUUCUUGAGUGAUGGAGAGGCAGGCGGAAUUCCUAGUGUAGCGGUGAAAUGCGUAGAUAUUAGGAGGAACACCAGUGGCGAAGGCGGCCUGCUGGACAUCAACUGACGCUGAUGCGCGAAAGCGCGGGGAGCAAAC
rnacentral:rRNA from 1 species